rnacentral:rRNA from 1 species
GACGUAGGAGGCGAGCGUUAUCCGGAUUCACUGGGCGUAAAGCGCAUGUAGGCGGUUCGAUAAGUCCGCUGUUAAAGCCCCCGGCUCAACUGGGGGAAGUCAGUGGAGACUAUAGGACUUGAGGGCAACAGAGGCACGUGGAACUCCCGGUGUAGCGGUGGAAUGCGUAGAGAUCGGGAAGAACACCAGUGGCGAAGGCGACGUGCUGGGUUGCGACUGACGCUGAGAUGCGAAAGUGUGGGGAGCAAACGGG